CAAUUGGCAAAAUCAAAUUUAGGAAAUAAAUUUUUGAAGUAUAAAAGAAAUAAACUGUAUAAAGGACUUAACAUGAUGAACGAAUUUAAACAAAUUGAAAAAAAUAUGUAUAUUUAAUUACAAAUUACAGCUCAAAAGCUUCAAAGUCAUACCCUCGUCUUCUUAAAUGUAUUUAUUUAUUCAAUAAAUUUAAAAAAAAAUUUUCGAAUCCCUUGAGAAUCGAUUUUCAUCUUAAAACUGUUAAUAGUUUGAUCUUCCUUUAGUUUAAAUCUUUAAGCAAACUUGUCACGUAUCAUUACUGCCUUCAGAAAAAGCAGCUUCUUCGUACAUAUUGUCGGAAGG